rnacentral:rRNA from 1 species
CACCGGCGCGGGACGCGCCAAGGAAACGAAACGAAACGAACGAGCGCGCCCCCGGCCCGCGUAACCGCGGCGACGGGGCGUCGCGCCUUUCGAUUCACGGACAAAACGACUCUCGGCAACGGAUAUCUUGGCUCUCGCAUCGAUGAAGAACGUAGCGAAAUGCGAUACUUGGUGUGAAUUGCAGAAUCCCGCGAACCAUCGAGUCUUUGAACGCAAGUUGCGCCCGAAGCCAUCCGGCCGAGGGCACGUCUGCCUGGGCGUCACGC